GGCUGUUAAUGGCGGAGUCUCUAUUGAUUUCGUCUUUUUUUUAAUAAUUCUGGUUAAAAUGGGAAGAAUUUGUGUUGUGGAGGCUUACCGUAGCGAGUAUUAUUCUGAUUGUGGUUUAUAUUUUCACAGGUACUUACUAUUCAAAAUGCAGAAUCCAGGACAAUGAUGCUCGGCGGUGAAGAAAAUUCCUCUAAAUGUUUGAAUUGGGUUGAUUUUAUGUAAAUCCUACCACUUAUAUCCAUCACAUUUUUUAUAUAGUCUGUAGGUAAUGUAAUGGCUCUACUCCCCUCGUUGCCCAAAACUCAGAUGCUAUAGCAAUGGCUAUACAUUUUUUUUGCAUGUGUUACACUGAAAAUUUGGCCAAAUUGCCACAGUUGGAAGGAGGGUUUUUAGGAAGGUUUGUGGAAAGGUCCAGUUUUCCUUUAGGAAGUCCUCCUAUUUCCUAGAUGUUUUUUUUUUACCAAAAGACAAACCAUGAUCAGAACAAUGUGUUAAACCAAAGUAUAAAUAUUAUCUCCAUUUUAUGCAUGAUCACCGAAAAUAUUUGAUGACAUGUUUAGUGUUCAUAAAUUUAUUUUUUAGAUGAGCUGCUUGACUGGUGUUAUUCGUAAUUGGUAUUUUAGUGUAAGGCAUAAAGUGCUGUUUAUCUUUAUGGCCAAAGUUGCUCAGUAAACAAAAGUAUAACUGUAUGUUUUGAUGCAAUUAGUAUAUAUAAUUUUUAAUUUUACAAAAUCACACGUCAUUCAGGAAAGGAACAAAGAAUUAUAAAGGCAUUUUUAUUGUACUUGUCUUGCAUUCAAGACAUAAGAACUUACAUAUUAAAUUUUAACAAUAAGGAGACUUUAAAUCCAUUAAUAAGAGUUACAACAUGGUUUUAUAAAUUUAUGUUAAAUUCUAUGUACCAAUGACGUGAAAUUUUAAUACAUUAUGUUUAAUAUUCAAAAGCCUCAUGAAUAUUUAAUCAACUUAACAAUUUUCCUAAAUUAUGAAAUCUAUUGUGAUCCUUACAUUAAUGAAACAAAAUACACGCUAUUAAGUAUGGAAUUGGUUAUAGGGCAUUUAUCAAAUCGAGAGAGGCUUUUCAUAUCAAGUCCUAUAUCUUACACAUACAGAAAAUAAUGUAAACUAAAUAAUAAUAUUCUGAAGGGGUUGCGAAAAUAAUAAAUGUAGGACUUGGAUCAAGUUCACCAAUAUAUACAUACAUAAAUACAAUAAAGAUUCAGGGCAUUAUGGAAAGUUUUAAAAAAUAAGGCAAUAUUGUUUAUUAUCUCCCAUUGCAAGCUGUUUUACAUUCAACAUAGACACAUUCAACAGGGAUAACAAAAUAAAAAAUAUUGUGAUUGAUGAAAUUCUAAUUAACCACUGAAUUCUCGACAAGUUAGCAGGACUUCAUAAACAAAGGAAUAGAUCGGAAAAAACAAAAUGAUGUGUUGCGGUGACGGGCGAGGGAUA